ensembl:misc_RNA Metazoa_SRP Metazoan signal recognition particle RNA
GCCGGGCAUGGUGGCGCGUGCCUGUAGUCCCAGCUACUUGGGAGGCUGAGGUGGGAGGAUCACCUAAGCCCAGGAGUUCUAGGCUGUAGUGCGCUAUGCCGAUCGGGUGUCGGCACUAAGUUCGGCAUCAAUAUGGUGACCUCCCGGGAGCGGGGGACCACCAGGUUGCCUAAGGAGGGGUGAACCGGCCCAGGUCGGAAGCAGAGCAAGUCAAAACUCCCGUGCUGAUCAGUAGUGGGAUCGUGCCUGUGAAUAAUCACUGCACUCCAGCCUGGGCAACAUAGCAAGACCCCAUCUCUU